AUGCCAUCCAGACUGAGGAAGACCCGGAAACUCCGGGGCCAUGUGAGCCACAGCCACGGCCGCAUUGGUAAGCACCGCAAGCACCCAGGCAGCCGCGGGAAUGCUGGAGGCAGGCAUCACCACAGGAUCAACUUUGACACAUAUCACCCAGGUUACUUUGGGAAAGUUGGUAUGCGGCAUUACCACUUGAAGAGGAACCAGAGCUUCUGCCCAACAGUCAACCUGGAUAAACUGUGGACGUUGGUCAGCGAGCAGACGCGGGUCAAUGCAGCAAAGAACAAGACUGGAGCUGCUCCCAUCAUUGAUGUUGUUCGAUCAGGCUACUAUAAAGUUCUGGGCAAGGGAAAGCUCCCUAAGCAACCUGUCAUCGUGAAGGCCAAACUCUUCAGCAGAAGAGCUGAAGAGAAGAUUAAGGGUGUUGGAGGUGCCUGUGUUCUGGUGGCUUAA
rnacentral:lncRNA from 1 species